rnacentral:rRNA from 1 species
UAGGGAAUAUUGCACAAUGGGCGAAAGCCUGAUGCAGCAACGCCGCGUGUGCGAUGAAGGCCUUCGGGUCGUAAAGCACUUUUCUGGGAGAUGAGAAAGGACAGUAUCUCAGGAUUAAGUCUCGGCUAACUACGUGCCAGCAGCCGCGGUAAAACGUAGGAGGCAAGCGUUAUCCGGAUUCACUGGGUGUAAAGCGCGUGCAGGCGGUUCGGUAAGUUGGGCGUGAAAUCUCCUGGCUCAACUAGGAGAGGUCGUUCAAUACUACCGGACUUGAGAGUGGUAGAGGAAGAUGGAAGUCCCGGUGUAGUGGUGAAAUGCGGAUAUACCGGGAGGAACACCAGUGGCGAAGGCGAUCUUCUGGACCAUUUCUGACGCUCAGACGCGACAGCUAGGGUA